GACGAACGCUGGCGGCGUGCCUAAUACAUGCAAGUAGAACGCUGAAGAGAGGAGCUUGCUCUUCUUGGAUGAGUUGCGAACGGGUGAGUAACGCGUAGGUAACCUGCCUUGUAGCGGGGGAUAACUAUUGGAAACGAUAGCUAAUACCGCAUCACACUGGCUGACCCAUGUCAUUUAUUUGAAAGGGGCAAAUGCUCCACUACAAGAUGGACCUGCGUUGUAUUAGCUAGUAGGUGAGGUAACGGCUCACCUAGGCGACGAUACAUAGCCGACCUGAGAGGGUGGUCGGCCACACUGGGACCGGGGCACGGCCCAGACCCCUACGGGAGGCAGCAGUAGGGAAACAUCGGAAAUGGGGGCAACCCUGACCGAGGAACGCCGCGUGAGGGAAGAAGGGUUUCGGGUCGGAAAGGUCGGUUGUUAGGCAAGAAAGAGUGUGAGGGUGGAAAGUUCACACUGUGACGGUAGCUAACCAGAAAGGGACGGCUAACUACGUG
rnacentral:rRNA from 1 species